GCUUUUUUUAAAGAAAAAAAAAAUUCUCCUAGUCCUGCGUUUGAUUUUGCUCUCAUGAAAAAUGCAUAAGCAAAUAAGGCCAUCUGCUACCUGGAUUACUUUCUCAAGAAGUACGGUGCUGACUGUUGAGAGCAUUCCCAGAUUCAGUGUUAUAUGCUACUCAAAUGUUUGUGAUCAAACAAACAUAAUUCGGCUUAUCCCCA
rnacentral:misc_RNA from 1 species